GUCAUGUUGUAAAAGAAGACAUAUAUUAUUUAUGCUAGAGAAGAAUUCUUGUAGGAAAUAAAGUGAAGAAUGAUAUAUUUUGAUCUGCAUUCAGACUCUGUCAACUCCUUCUAUAGCAGUGCUAAGUCUUUUUUUUUUCCCAUAAGUCUCUUAGAGUUGUCUUGGAUCCUGGCACUGUUAAUACUUCAGUCAUUCAUAGUUGAUCAUCAUACACUGUUGCUGUUCACUGUGUAUAACGUUCUCCUGAUUCUGCAACAUUCAUUUGGCAUCAUUUCAUAAAAGGUGAUCCAGCCUUUUGAAGAUGAGGAUUAGAGAGAAAAAGGGACUGAUAUUAAGCCACUGAUCAAUGCUGAGGAGUACAGGAUUAAAAAUGCCAACAACCCCUGUAGGGCUGGUGAAUAUCAAUGCCAAAGCACAGGACCUGUCUCAGAGGACUGAGGAAGCAGCUGUUCAGAAAGCCUUAAGGACCACUGCCUGGGAAGACUUUGUAAUAGUUUCUCAUGCUGCCUUGAAAGAUAUCUACAAUUUUCUUUCUGCUUUUAUAAAAAAUGGAAGUCAAACUAGAAGAAUAUACAGUGUGUGAUAAAUUGAUAUAUUUUUCAUUACUUGAGAACGUGGGCUAUUUUCUCUCCUUUAUAUUUAGCUGUUUUGGCUUUGAACCUUUGCACUUCAAUCAAAGUGUAAUUUUGAAGAAAGACUGUGUCUUAAGUUUUAUUGAAGACUCAGCUAUGUUUUCUUUCUCAGUGACUACGCCAAAAGUAAAUAUCCUGGCAAUAGAAAACUAGCUGCUUGCAUUUGUCUUAAGUGCCUGAUGACCAUAGGCUUAAUUUCCCAACAAUUCCAUAGAAAUGAUGUGCAAAUUUUUCUGGAAGGUGUGAAAAUGAGAAAACUCAAUAAUUGUUG
rnacentral:lncRNA from 1 species